rnacentral:SRP_RNA from 1 species
UGGGAGGCUGGCGGCGGACGAACCCCUCGCCAACCCGGUCAGGUCCGGAAGGAAGCAGCCGUAACGAGUUCCGGUUCGGGUCGCUCGCCAGCCUCCCACUC